AAGGGCACACCAGGAGUGGAGCCUGCUGCUUAAUUUGACUCAACACGGGAAAACUCACCCGGUCCGGACACCGUAAGGAUUGACAGACUAAAGGCUCUUUCUUGAUUCGGUGGAUGGUGGUGCAUGGCCGUUCUUAGUUGGUGGAGUGAUUUGUCUGGUUAAUUCCGAUAACGAACGAGACUCUGUCCUGCUAACUAGUGGAGUUGUUAGUGCUGCAACUUGCACUUCUUAGAGGGACAAGUGGCGGAUAGCCACGCGAAAUGGAGCAAUAACAGGUCUGUGAUGCCCUUAGAUGUCCGGGGCCGCACGCGCGCUACAAUGGAGCAGUCAACGGGUCUUAUCCAAACCCGAGAGGGGCUGGGUAAUCCUGGAAACUGCUUCGUGACUGGGAUUGUGGCUUGUAACUCUUCCACAUGAACAAGGAAUUCCUAGUAAAUGCAAAGUCAUAAGCUUGCGUUGAUUACGUCCCUGCCCUUUGUACACACCGCCCGUCGCUACUACCGAUUGAAUGUUUUAGCG
rnacentral:rRNA from 1 species